rnacentral:rRNA from 1 species
GACAGCAGCCGCCGCGGUAAUGCGUAGGGUGCGAGCGUUAAUCGGAAUUACUGGGCGUAAAGCGUGCGCAGGCGGUUGUGUAAGACAGGUGUGAAAUCCCCGGGCUUAACCUGGGAACUGCGCUUGAGGCUGCACAGCUAGAGUAUGGCAGAGGGGGGUGGAAUUCCACGUGUAGCAGUGAAAUGCGUAGAGAUGUGGAGGAACACCGAUGGCGAGGGCAGCCCCCUGGGCCAAUACUGACGCUCAUGCACGAAAGCGUGGGGAGCAAACAGGAUUAGAUACCCGUGUAGUCCCUGUCUCUUAUAC